GGGGGGGCAACAUAUACAUGCAAGUCGAGCGGACAGAUGGGAGCUUGCUCCCUGAUGUUAGCGGCGGACGGGUGAGUAACACGUGGGUAACCUGCCUGUAAGACUGGGAUAACUCCGGGAAACCGGGGCUAAUACCGGAUGGUUGUUUGAACCGCAUGGUUCAAACAUAAAAGGUGGCUUCGGCUACCACUUACAGAUGGACCCGCGGCGCAUUAGCUAGUUGGUGAGGUAACGGCUCACCAAGGCAACGAUGCGUAGCCGACCUGAGAGGGUGAUCGGCCACACUGGGACUGAGACACGGCCCAGACUCCUACGGGAGGCAGCAGUAGGGAAUCUUCCGCAAUGGACGAAAGUCUGACGGAGCAACGCCGCGUGAGUGAUGAAGGUUUUCGGAUCGUAAAGCUCUGUUGUUAGGGAAGAACAAGUACCGUUCGAAUAGGGCGGUACCUUGACGGUACCUAACCAGAAAGCCACGGCUAACUACGUGCCAGCAGCCGCGGUAAUACGUAGGUGGCAAGCGUUGUCCGGAAUUAUUGGGCGUAAAGGGCUCGCAGGCGGUUUCUUAAGUCUGAUGUGAAAGCCCCCGGCUCAACCGGGGAGGGUCAUUGGAAACUGGGGAACUUGAGUGCAGAAGAGGAGAGUGGAAUUCCACGUGUAGCGGUGAAAUGCGUAGAGAUGUGGAGGAACACCAGUGGCGAAGGCGACUCUCUGGUCUGUAACUGACGCUGAGGAGCGAAAGCGUGGGGAGCGAACAGGAUUAGAUACCUUUGGGUAGUCCC
rnacentral:rRNA from 1 species